rnacentral:rRNA from 1 species
UACGAAGGGGGCGAGCGUUUGUUCGGAUUUACUGGGCGUAAAGGGCGCGCAGGCGGCUUAUUUUGUCAGGCGUGAAAGCCCCGGGCUUAACCUGGGAACUGCGUUUGAUACGGAUGGGCUAGAGUUCGGGAGAGGAGAGUGGAAUUCCCAGUGUAGAGGUGAAAUUCGUAGAUAUUGGGAAGAACACCGGUGGCGAAGGCGGCCCCCUGGUUGGAUACUGACGCUGAUACGCGAAAGCGUGGGGAGCAA